rnacentral:misc_RNA from 1 species
GGCUACUGUAUACUAUAAUAAUACAAAUUACAUUAUUUACUUGUCCGGGAUUCUCUUCCCUAUGGGAAACUAUUAAACCUUAUUAAACAAAAGAACAAUCAAAAUGUAUCAAAUAUAACAGAUUUAAGAGGUCCCGGGCAAAAAAAAUUCAGGCAUGGACAAACACUGCAUCCAAAUGCAAUAGAAUGCGUCAUGGGGCUCAAUGUUUGCGAUAACGAAAUGAAAUAAACAGAAACGGGUCUGGAUCUUCUGACCCAAGUUUGGUGCAUAGAUACAAUCAUCGGGAUUCAUCUUCAAGGUUACGGAAUCCAGCAUUCAGGUCAUCAUACAAUUUCUGGAACUUUGCAACAAGUGCUUCCUCGCCUUCUGCAGGAUCUUCAAAUUUCUGGGACACGAGGCGAUAGAACAGGUCACCCAAACGAUGCUUGAUGACACUGUAAGUUAUCUUAUGGCCAUCAGAACCAGCCCCACGCUCAACUGCCUGGUUUGCUAAAGUAUUGAAAUGGAUAAUGUUCCUCAUCAUCCAAACUGACUUAUAGAACGGACAAUACUUGUCAUACGGAGUAAAUGCAUUUUGUGCGAGAUAAUCUUCCCUAAGAAGCUUUGCUGUCUCUAGGAUAAUUUUGUCAGUUUCUGCCAAUGCGUCUUUACCAACAAGCUGAACAAUUUCAUUCAGGUCAUCUUCUCUCUGCAGCACCUCACGAGCUUUUGUUCUGAUGUCAAUGAAAUCCGGAUCAAAUUUCUCAUAGAAAGAUUCUAAGGCCUUUGAGUACUUCGAAUAAGAAAUAAGCCAAUUCACGGAUGGAAAAUGUUUCCUCUGAGCAAGCUUCUUAUCCAGACCCCAGAAGACCUGAACAAUACCAAGGGUUGCAGAUGUUACUGGAUCAGAAAAAUCACCUCCGGGAGGAGAAACAGCACCGACAAUUGUUACACUUCCAGUGCGGUCUGGACUACCUAGACACUUAACUUUCCCAGCUCUCUCAUAGAAGGAAGCUAACCGUGCUGCUAGAUAUGCAGGAUAACCACUAUCUGCUGGCAUUUCAGCCAGUCGCCCUGAUAUUUCACGCAAAGCUUCUGCCCAACGAGAGGUAGAAUCAGCCAUCAUGCUUACGUUGUAGCCCAUAUCUCGGAAGUACUCAGCUAUCGUGAUACCUGUA